GACGAAUGCUGGCUGCGUGCUUAACACAUGCAAGUCGAACGGUGAAGGGGAGCUUGCUCCCCGGAUCAGUGGCGAACGGGUGAGUAACACGUGGGCAACCGGCCCCUCACUCUGGGAUAACUCCGGGAAACCGGGGCUCAUACCGGAUACGACCGGGAGCGACAUCGCUCCUGGUGGAAAGAACCUCGGUGAGGAAUGGGCCCGGGGCCUAUCAGCUAGACGGUGGGGUAACGGCCCACCAAGGCGGCGACGGGUAGCCGGCCUGAGAGGGCGACCGGCCACACUGGGACUGAGACACGGCCCAGACUCCUACGGGAGGCAGCAGUGGGGAAUAUUGCGCAAUGGGCGAAAGCCUGACGCAGCGACGCAGCGUGAGGGACGAAGGCCUUCGGGUUGUAAACCUCUUUCAGCGGGGACGAAGCGAAAGUGACGGUACCCGCAGAAGAAGCACCGGCUAACUACGUGCCAGCAGCCGCAGUAA
rnacentral:rRNA from 1 species